UCAAAUUUGAAAUCUGGCUCUUUUAGAGUCCGAGUUGUAAUUUGCAGAGGGCGCUUUGGCUUUGGCAGCGGUCCAAGUUCCUUGGAACAGGACGUCACAGAGGGUGAGAAUCCCGUACGUGGUCGCUGGCUAUUGCCGUGUAAAGCCCCUUCGACGAGUCGAGUUGUUUGGGAAUGCAGCUCUAAAUGGGAGGUACAUUUCUUCUAAAGCUAAAUAUUGGCCAGAGACCGAUAGCGCACAAGUAGAGUGAUCGAAAGAUGAAAAGCACUUUGGAAAGAGAGUCAAACAGCACGUGAAAUUGUUAAAAGGGAAGCGCUUGCAGCCAGACUUGCUUACAGUUGCUCAUCCGGGCUUUUGCCCGGUGCACUCUUCUGUAGGCAGGCCAGCAUCAGUUUGGGCGGUAGGAUAAAGGUCUCUGUCACGUACCUCCUUUCGGGGAGGCCUUAUAGGGGAGACGACAUACUACCAGCCUGGACUGAGGUCCGCGCAUCUGCUAGGAUGCUGGCGUAAUGGCUGUAAGCGGCCCGUCUUGAAACACGGACCAAGGAGUCUAACAUCUAUGCGAGUGUUUGGGUGUCAAGCCCGAGCGCGUAAUGAAAGUGAACGGAGGUGGGAACCCGCAAGGGUGCACCAUCGACCGAUCCUGAUGUCUUCGGAAGGAUUUGAGUAAGAGCAUGGCUGUUGGGACCCGAAAGAUGGUGAACUAUGCUUGAAUAGGGUGAAGCCAGAGGAAACUCUGGUGGAGGCUCGCAGCGGUUCUGACGUGCAAAUCGAUCGUCAAAUUUGGGCAUAGGGGCGAAAGACUAAUCGAACU
rnacentral:rRNA from 1 species